rnacentral:rRNA from 1 species
AGAUCGGUAGGGGAGCGUUCCGUUCUUGGGUGAAGUUUUAAUGUAAAUUAGGAUGGACAAAACGGAAGUGAGAAUGUCGGCUUGAGUAACGAAAACAUUGGUAAGAAUCCAAUGCCCCGAAAACCGUUGGGUUCCUCCACUAGGCUCGUCCAUGGGGGGUUAGUCAGGUCCUAAGGCUAGGCCGAAAAAUCGGCGUCGUCGAUGGCAAACAGGUUAAUAUUCCUGUACUGAUUUUAUUGGGAACAAGUGACGAAGGAGGCUAAACUAGAACUGCUUGUGGAUUUCAGUGGAAGCGUUUAGGUGUUGAGAGUUAGAAAAAAAGCUAUACUCGAACUAAGACGUGAUCCGUAAGUUCGUGCAAACGAAUUUAUCUAGUGAUGUCAAACUUCCAAGAAAAGCUUGAGCUCCUUAACAAUAAAAUCACCUGUACCUAAAACCGACACAGGUAGGUUGGUAGAGAAUACCAAGGGGCGCGAGAGAACUCUCUCUAAGGAACUCGGCAAACUGGCCCCGUAACUUCGGAAGAAGGGGCGCCCUUUAACAAAGGGUCGCAGUGACCAGGCCCAGGCGACUGUUUAUCAAAAACACAGGUCUCCGCAAAGUCGUAAGACAAUAUAUGGGGGCUGACGCCUGCCCAGUGCCGGAAGGUUAAGGAAGUUGGUUAUUAGUUUACUAAGAAGCUGACGACCGAAGCCCCGGUGAACGGCGGCCGUAACUAUAACGGUCCUAAGGUAGCGAAAUUCAUUGUCGAGUAAGUUUCGACCUGCACGAAAGGCGUAACGAUCUGGGCGCUGUCUCGGAGAGAGGCUCGGUGAAAUAGACUUGUCCCGUGAAGAUGCGGACUACUUGCACCUGGACAGAAAGACCCUAUGAAGCUUGACUGUAUCCUGGAAUUGGUUUCGGGCUUUUCUUGCGCAGCCUAGGUGGGAGGCUAUGAAGGUUCUCUUCCGGGAGAACAUGAGCCGUCAUUGAGAGACCACUCUGGAAGAGCUAGAAUCCUAAUGGUGAUCUUUGAAUCAAGACACUUGACAUUUUCAGGUGGGCAGUUUAUCUGGGGCGGAUGCCUCCUAAAGUGUAACGGAGGUGUGCAAAGGUUCCCUCAGCCUGGACGGAAAUCAGGCCUUGAGUGUAAAGGCAAAAGGGAGCUUGACUGCAAGACCUACAAGUCGAGCAGGGGCGAAAGCCGGCCUUAGUGAUCCGACGGUGCCGUGUGGAAGGGCCGUCGCUCAACGGAUAAAAGUUACUCUAGGGAUAACAGGCUGAUCUUCCCCAAGAGUUCACAUCGACGGGAAGGUUUGGCACCU